rnacentral:rRNA from 1 species
CUAUGGGUUGUAAACUGCUUUUGUACGGGAAGAAACCASYCCACGCGUAGGGAGUUGACGGUACCGUAAGAAUAAGCAYCGGCUAACUCCGUGCCAGCAGCCGCGGUAAUACGGAGGGUGCAAGCGUUAUCCGGAUUCAUUGGGUUUAAAGGGUGCGUAGGCGGAUUGAUAAGUCAGKGGUGAAAUCCCGCAGCUUAACUGUGRAACUGCCAUUGAUACUGUCARUCUUGAAUACAGUUGAGGUAGGCGGAAUGUGUCAUGUAGCGGUGAAAUGCUUAGAUAUGACACAGAACACCRAUUGCGAAGGCAGCUUGCUARACURKAAUUGACGCUGAGGCACGAAAGCGUGGGGAUCAAACAGGAUUAGAUACCCUGGUAGUCCACGCCSUAAACUAUGAUUACUCGAUGUUUGYGAUACACAGU